UUGUGGUUGCCAAGGGGGAGGUGGAGGGGAAGGGACAGACCGGGAUUUCAAAAUUUGUAGAUACUGGCAGGCAUAUGUGGAAUAGAUAAACAAGAUUAUACUGUAUAGCACAGGGAAAUAUAUACAAGAUCUUGUGGUAGCUCACAAUGAAAAAUAAUGCAACAAUGAAUAUAUGUAUGUUCAUGUAUGACUGAAAAAUUG